UACGUAGGGGGCAAGCGUUGUCCGGAUUUAUUGGGCGUAAAGAGCGUGUAGGCGGCCAGACAAGUCUGCUGUGAAAACUCGAGGCUCAACCUCGAGCUGUCGGUGGAAACUGUCUGGCUAGAGUCCGGAAGAGGAGAGUGGAAUUCCUGGUGUAGCGGUGAAAUGCGCAGAUAUCUGGAGGAACACCGGUGGCGAAGGCGGCAUCCUGGACCGGCAUUGACGCUGAGGCGCGAAAGCCAGGGAAGCAAACGGG
rnacentral:rRNA from 1 species